CAUGACUAGGCAUGAUGGGAAUUGUAGUUCCUGAACAACUGGAGGGCCGUAGUUUGAAGACCCAUGAAAUACACAUUGUGGAGAAUUCCUGGGAAAAGUAAACCUGUCAGAAACCUGGAAAUUGAUUUCAGGGAAAACCAUGUCAAAAUGACUAGUGGAUUCAAAAAUAAUGACUACUAAUGAGCAAAUUUCUACUUUUCCUAUAAAAGUAAAGACCUAAAGUACAUAUUCUUAACAAGCAAUGAAAGAGCUUUAUUAUGAGUCAUUCCUGAUCCCUAUAGCGACGUUUAAUGUGAAUGUAUAGGUCUCAUUCAUACAGGUGCUGAGGCCCAUAGAUUGUGAAUGGCCCUGAAAUCAGACAGUGUGCAUUCAGGGCCACUCACUCGUACCUACACGCCUGUCAGAUUGGUACGAGAAGCUGUGUCUGUGAAGCUACUAAGUCCCCAAACAAUUACAUGGACUGCCUUCACACUGUACCUGGCAGCUUAAGCCACAUAAAGAAAUGGCCCAUUCAGGCCUACGAAUUCAGCACCCAUAUGAAUGAGGCCAUACACUCUCAUGGACCAUACCAUUUACUCAAGAAGGGUUUUAGUGCUCCUUUUGCUUAGGAAUUCUUGCACAUGGGGCCAUCUAGGAGCAGUGUGUCCCUCUGUCUUUUAGUGCUCCCGAGAGGGACAGCCCCAAACACAGGCAGCCUGUCAGUCUAUGGCAGGCUGUGGUUGGAUGGUGCUGAAUGCUAUACGGAGUGGUACAUGUGUUUAGGGCGCUUUAUGUUCAGAGACAAAGUUACUCUAAUUAAUAGGCCCAUAGCAGAAUUGUAAAAAAUGUCCUGGUCCAUUAAAGGGGCAAAGGAUGAAGUGAAAAUAGUGAAAUUCCGCACCAUACAAUAAAAAUUAAAUUAA